ACAGAGGUCCCAAGCGUUGUUCGGAUUCAUUGGGCGUAAAGGGUGCGUAGGUGGCGAGGCAAGUCUGGUGUGAAAUCCCGGGGCUCAACCCCGGACGUGCACUCGAUACUCCCGAGCUAGAGGCAGGUAGGGGAGAGUGGAAUUCCCGGUGUAGCGGUGAAAUGCGCAGAUAUCGGGAGGAACACCGGUGGCGAAGGCGGCUCUCUGGGCCUGUCCUGACGCUCAGGCGCGAAAGCUAGGGGAGCGAACAGGA
rnacentral:rRNA from 1 species